rnacentral:rRNA from 1 species
UACGAGGGGUGCAAGCGUUGCUCGGAAUUAUUGGGCGUAAAGGGCAGGUAGGUGGUCUCAUUUGUCAGGGGUGAAAGCCUUGGGCUUAACCCAAGAAGUGCCCUUGAAACGGUGAGACUGGAGUCUUGGAGAGGGUCGUGGAAUUCCCAGUGUAGCGGUGAAAUGCGUAGAGAUUGGGAGGAACACCAGAGGCGAAGGCGGCGACCUAGACAAGUACUGACACUCAACUGCGAAAGCGUGGGUAGCAAACAGG